UUGCUAGUUGCAGAUUCUUGAAUUCCUGGCAUCAAUGCUUAUGUAAUACGGUCUGCAUUUUUUUUUUUUUUUUUUUUUUUUACAACGGACACAUGUGCUUAUUACACGAAACAAUAUUAUAACUUUCGAUUUUGUUAUCUCCCAAAGUGAGUGAGUACUUUUAGUUUAUUGUAUGUGUCAUUGUGUUUAGAUAUUAAUCAUAUUAUAAACAAUCGAAAAAAUAUAUAAAUGUUAUAGUCAGCCCUACGCAACUAAACGUAUCACAAAUCAAAGAUAAAUGUUUACACUGAAACCAGCCUUCUUUUUUCCUCGUGCGCCACACUGCAGAGUUUAUCGUUGUCACCACCUUAUCAGUGGAAAACUCAAUGUAAACGCAAGCCUGCGCUGUGACACUUUGUGCCCUGUUGGCAUAUAAAUCCCCGGUCUACGCCUCCAGAACAUUUACCCCGCAGUAGAAGCAAGAAUGAGUUAGUGACUGACAUUCAAACUCUAAAGUAGUCCAGGAAGAAGAAGGUCGAGAGUUCAUCCGUUGAGUAAACAAGACUGAUGUCAAAAUGUCCGUAUUCCACGACUACGAAAUUUUCCUCGACAUGGGCUUAGGAGGCGAAAGAACCUGGACGUCGAGCAACAGCUACCUCAGUUCCUGCAGCAGCGACAGCCGCGCCAGAACCACGAGCCACGGCAGCGGCGUCUCGGCCGAGGGCGUUCACGGGCCAGAAAAGAAGUAACAGAAGAACAAAGAGAAACACAAGUUCUGGAAGCGCGCCUUUUCUUACUGAACUUUACGAGAUCUUAUAGUCGUAAUCAAAUAGGUUUUAGGUUGCUGUUUUGUUUUGUCUUCGGCUAGUUUGUUUUGAAAAUUGUGGACUAGGUUAACUUACUACUUGUAAGUUGAACUCUACAAAAGUAUAAGGUAAAAAAUAAUAAUAGUAGUAGAUUAUAACUUGUAAAAUUGUUGAUCAAAAUCUACUGACAACCUGAGUAUAUAAACAGACCAUUUAUCCA